rnacentral:rRNA from 1 species
GAUGAACGCUAGCUACAGGCUUAACACAUGCAAGUCGAGGGGAAACGACAUCUAAAGCUUGCUUUUGAUGGGCGUCGACCGGCGCACGGGUGAGUAACGCGUAUCCAACCUGCCCACCACUUGGGGAUAACCUUGCGAAAGUAAGACUAAUACCCAAUGAUAUCUCUAGAAGACAUCUGUAAGAGAUUAAAGAUUUAUCGGUGAUGGAUGGGGAUGCGUCUGAUUAGCUUGUUGGCGGGGUAACGGCCCACCAAGGCUACGAUCAGUAGGGGUUCUGAGAGGAAGGUCCCCCACAUUGGAACUGAGACACGGUCCAAACUCCUACGGGAGGCAGCAGUGAGGAAUAUUGGUCAAUGGACGGGAGUCUGAACCAGCCAAGUAGCGUGCAGGAUGACGGCCCUAUGGGUUGUAAACUGCUUUUAUAAGGGAAUAAAGUGAGUCUCGUGAGACUUUUUGCAUGUACCUUAUGAAUAAGGACCGGCUAAUUCCGUGCCAGCCGCCGCGGUAA